GGUAUAGCCAAGCGGUAAGGCACCGGAUUCUGAUUCCGGCAUUUCAAAGGUUCAAAUCCUUUUACC
rnacentral:tRNA from 1 species